rnacentral:rRNA from 1 species
GACGAACGCUGGCGGCGGGCUUAACACAUGCAAGUCGAACGGAAAGGCCCUGCUUUCGUGGGGUGCCCGAGGGGCGAACGGGUGAGUAACACGUGUGUAACGUGCUCUUGAUUUUGGGAGAAGUUCAGGAAACUGGGGUUAAUACCGUACAGGAGCCGCUGCUCCAUGGUGGGCGUUGGAAAGUUUAGGCGGUAGGGGAUGGACUCGCGGGUUACGAGCUUGUUGGUUGGGUAGUGGCUUACCCAGGGUUGGACGGGUCGCCGGCAUGGGAGGGUGGCCGGCCACAUUGGGACUGCGAGAGGGAGCAGACUCGAACGGGAGGCAGCGGUGGGAAAUAUUACACAAUGGGCGGAAGCCUGAUGCGGCAACGCCGCGUGCGGAAUGCCGGCCUGCGGGUUGUAAACCGCUGUCGCCUGUGACGAAGCGUGAGUGACGGUAAUGGAUAAAGAAGCACCGGCUAACUACGUG